GGGGGCGUAGUUCAGUUGGGAGAACACCUGCCUUGCAAGCAGGGGGUCAGCGGUUCGAAUCCGCUCGUCUCCA
rnacentral:tRNA from 1 species